GUCUAUGGCCAUACCACCCUGAACACACCUGAUCUCAGAAGCUAAGCAGGGUUGGUCUUGAUUAGUACUUCGAUGGGAGAAGUACUGACUACAGAUA
rnacentral:rRNA from 1 species